GAUGAACGCUGGCGGCGUGCCUAACACAUGCAAGUCGAGCGGAGUUUAUUAAGGAAGUCUUAGGACGGAAAGAAUGAACUUAGCGGCGGACGGGUGAGUAACACGUGAGCAACCUGCCUUUAGCUGGGGAAUAACACUGGGAAACCAGUGCUAAUACCGCAUAACAUCCNAGUGUGGCAUCACAUUUGGAUCAAAGGAGAAAUCCGGCAAAAGAUGGGCUCGCGUCCGAUUAGAUAGUUGGUAGGGUAAAGGCCUACCAAGUCAACGAUCGGUAGCCGGACUGAGAGGUUGACCGGCCACAUUGGGACUGAGACACGGCCCAGACUCCUACGGGAGGCAGCAGUGGGGAAUAUUGGGCAAUGGGGGAAACCUGACCCAGCAACGCCCCGUGAAGGAAGAAAGUCUUCNGAUUGUAAACUUCUUUGAUCAGGGACGAAGAAAUGACUGUACCUGAAGAACAAGUCACGGCUAACUACCUGNCAGCAGCCGCGGUAAUACGUAAGUGGCAAGCGUUAUUCCGAUUUUCUGGGUGUAAAGGGCGUGUAAGCGGGUCUGCCAAUCAAAUGUGAA
rnacentral:rRNA from 1 species